UUCCUCAUAGCAAGGCGCCUCCAAUCACUCCCAUCCCCCACCCCAUCCGGGCGGGUGCCUUCAGCCGGGCGCGAGUGUUUGCUGCGAUAAGGAGAGUGACAUCCAUUAAACCCGAGGCACAACAGAGCGCCAGCGGGGAGAAGAACUAGCCCGACGUCAAUGAGAGAGCGUGUCACAGAUGGAGUUCCUGCAACAGACAGUAGUAAAUCGGGGCGAAAGCUAAACCCUAAUAAAAAUGCCUGGCAGAGGUGUUCAUUGCUGACAGGUCUCCUGCCCUGGAGAAAAGAGAGGGCUGCUCUCUCCUACCGCCCUGUCAAACCUUCUGGACUCUUCCUG